UCCUCUCUCUCCAGGGCGACAUGGUGUAGUAUAGGCUGCCAUGGAUGCGCAUCCCUCUCCAUCAAGUUAACAUCAAAAGGGUUAAGAUUGAAUACCAAAAACCUUUGUUUGGAUCUCGUUUCCGAAUCUGCCGUCUAUGUUGUUCGUGAAGAAAUCACUGUUGUAAUAGAAUUUUGGAAGAUUCUAAGAAUCCAGUAGCGGAGCAGAAAUUUAAAGAGUGUGAGUGUGAUUCUUGGAGUUGUAAAGGAACGGUAGCACAACAGCGUGUGAAAGUGUUGCUGCUUUGUGAGAAAGAUGAAGAAGAAUAGCCACUGUCCAUUUUGACAUUCUUUCGACCCCUUUUUUAUAUUACAUUAUUAUUAUGGGAUUUUUAUUCAAUUUGGGGCUACAACAAUUUGGUUUUUUAUUAAUAUAUUUCAAUAUAUUUUUAAGGUAUUAGGAUGUAUUUUUUUGUAUUCGUUGUCUAUUUUUUCAGUGUAAUUCAG
rnacentral:lncRNA from 1 species